CGACGCCGCGUGGUGAAGAAGCUCGGUUGUAAAGCCCUGUCAGGGGGGACGGAAGGGAAACUGACGGUACCCCAGAGGAAGCCCCGGCCAACUACGUGC
rnacentral:rRNA from 1 species